UGGUUCUGGCAUCGAUGAAGAACGCAGCGAAAUGCGAUAAGUAAUGUGAAUUGCAGAAUUCAGUGAAUCAUCGAAUCUUUGAACGCACAUUGCGCCCGCCAGUAUUCUGGCGGGCAUGCCUGUUCGAGCGUCAUUUCAACCCUCAAGCCCCCGGGCUUGGUGUUGGGGAUCGGCAUCAGCGCACCCUCGGGCGCGCCGCCGUCCCCUAAAUUCAGUGGCGGUCUCGCUGCAGCUUCCCUUGCGUAGUAGCACACCUCGCACCGGAGAGCAGCGCGGCCACGCCGUUAAACCCCCCACUUUCUGAAAGGUUGACCUCGAAUCAGGUAGGACUACCCGCUGA
rnacentral:misc_RNA from 1 species